UUCAAGGGGAGACAUUAUCUACCAUGAAAUUAAUUUGAUGUUGAAACUUGAGCAAGUCCUCCAAAACAACACCAUGUGAUCUCUCACAUGUAAUUGUUUCCAUAGCUUCCAUAACUAACAUCCAUCACAUGGUCCUCCUUCAACUUGCCGACUGUUUGUUACAUAUCCUUUCAUCUAUAUAUAUAUAUUCAUAGUUGCAGGCAUUUAGAAUCAACACAAAUCAUUCACAUCCCAACACAUUUGAAGUUCUAAAGCUUGAGUCUUCUAUAUACAAUUCUUUCUUUUUUAGAUUAAUCUCUUCUUUUCAACACAUACAGAAAUGGGUUUUCGUUUACCUAAUAUCAUCAGAUCAAAGGCAUCAUCUUCAAAAGGUGUCCCAAAGGGAUAUCUAGCUGUGUAUGUAGGAGAGCAAAUGAAGAGUUGGAACGUGUUGUAACCUGGAAGCCACACUUUGGAGUGGCUAGUCGAUGUACCAAAACAAUAAACAAAAAACGGUGAGAACUGCGGCAGCUACGGUUUCGAAAAAGAUUCCAAAACAAAUAUGACCAAACGGAAAACAAACUAUUUCAAGAGCGAACCAGUGGGGUAUCGCUGAACGAAGCCAAGAUGAGCAAUAUCACAGGUUUGAUCGAACCUUAUGAUACCAUGUCAGGAAUUAUGGCUUGAUGUCUUUAUUCAUUGUAUUGCUUCUAUAUAUAAUAGUGUGAGCAUUUACAACUAUUGAUUACAAAUAUUCUAUGUCUGAUUUUUUGGUCUAUUCUAGGAAAGGAAAUAUAUACAAUCAAGGACAACCAAAUUAUUCCCUUAUUAACAUCCGGUCGAUGUUUGGUUUCAAGUGUGAGUGGUUAAGUCUCACACCGACUACAUAUGGGAAGAAUGUUGGGUUUAUAAGAGAGGUGACCCAUUUACCUAAUACCUUAAGGAUUUGGGUUGGGAUAUGGCGUCUCCCUCUCUUGUGGUCCUGGAGCAUUGGUUCAUUGUUUCUCACGAGGCCAAUAGACCUGGCCAAUAGACCUGUACACUAUUGAUUUGUUAAAUUUGUGCAGUUCAGGUGGAUUGUCGUUUCAUGUAUAAAGCUCAAAAUUUGUUUAGUUUCAUCAAUUUCAAUUUAACAUAUCAGAGCAUAAAACUCAAAAUUCUUUAGAUGCAGUUCCAAAUAGUUUAUGCCUGAUACUUAUCUUCAGUGCAAGGAAUGGUAAGGCCACCCAUGGGGUGGUCAUAUCCAAAUACUUCUUCAGCUUGACUUAACAACUCUUGAAAUGAAGGUUGGUUCAAGUAACACACAAGGACUAUACAAACCGCUUAUGUUUCUCUCCAACAUACACUUCUGCUGAUUUGGAAGCCGCUUUUCUAGCAUUUAUUGAUGCCCGUCGAAUAACAUUUAACCGGAAACCCAUGUUUUGUGUUGUUUGAGGGAAGAACAAACUCAAUAGAGCAAAUAUAUCAAAACUUUUAGAAGAAUUUAACUAAAACUUGAGGAUGCCAAUGACUUGUGUUGUGUUUGAAGGCAAUUUGUAAGUAUAUUUAUAGUUAUUUAGGUUCUCUGUAAACUCAAUUACAACCUAAAUUAUUGUUUGAAAUAUUUAAAGGGUAAGAUAAUAUAACAUGUGGUGAUGUCUUAAGUUUGUACACCCACACCAUUUCAAUUACAACCUCAUAUUUUUUCAUGCAUUAACUAGUACUUCAUAAUUGUGUAAACAUGCUCUAGACAUGUUUUCUUCAUUAUGAUAGUGUUGAUGUUCAUCUGAUAUCUGCCUAACAAACUGUAUGGUAAUGGAUUAAAGACAUUAUCUACCAUGAAAUUAAUUUGAUGUUGACACUUGAGCAAGUCCUCCAAAACAAUACAUGUGAUCUUUCACAUGCACCUAUCUCAAAUAGUUUCCAUGACUCCCAUCUAUCUAUUCAUUUAUAUAUAUUCAUGGUUGUAAGCAUUUAGGACUAACUCACAAUCAUUUACAAUCCAACACAUUUGAAGUUCAGAAACUUUGGUCUUAUCUUCUCUAUACAAGUCUUUAUUUUCAAUCUCUUCUUUUCAAUACAACAUGGGUUUUCGUCUACCUAGUAUCAUCAAAAGGGAAUCAUCUUCAAAAGGUGUGGACGUGCCAAAAGGAUAUCUAGCAGUGUACGUAGGAGAGAAAAUGAAGCGUUUUGUGAUUCCUGUAUCAUACUUGAACCAAACGUCAUUUCAAGAGUUGCUGAGCCAAGCUGAAGAACAAUUCGGAUAUGAUCAUCCAAUGGGUGGUAUCACUAUUCCUUGCGGAGAAGAUGUUUUCUUAGAAAUCACUUCUCGCUUGAAUUGAAUAUGUGCUAACUCUCAGAGGAUAUCAUAAUACUGACAUAGAUAUAGGACCAAUUUUUGUAGUUUAGUUUCUCCUUUUCAAAAGAUUCUAUCUUUUGUUGAUAUCAUACUUUGUUGUAAAAAAGUUCAUCUCAAUGAGAAAUUUAUUAAAAUUAUUAUCUCUA